UGAGUAAAUCAGACAGUCGCGGGUGCAAGUUCGAAAGAACGCAUACGAGGAAAGUCCGAGCUCCAUAGGGCAAGAUGCUGGAUAACUCCCAGUGGAGGCGACUCCAAGGAUAGUGCAACAGAAAUAAACCGCUUUAGAUUUAUUCUAAAGUAAGGGUGGAAUGGCGAGGUAAGAGCUCACCGCUUCUCUGGUGACAGGGAGGGCUAUGUAAACCCCAUCUGGAGCAAAACCGUAUAGGAGAACAAUUGUGAUCGCCCGUCACGUUCUCGGGUAGGUUGCUUGAGUUUAUUGGUAACAAUAAGCCUAGACAGAUGACUGUCAAAUACAGAACUCGGCUUAUAGAUUUGCUCAUAUU
rnacentral:RNase_P_RNA from 1 species